rnacentral:rRNA from 1 species
GUCCACGCCCUAAACGAUGCAUAUUUGGUGUGGGCAGUUCAUUCUGUCCGUGCCGGAGCUAACGCGUUAAAUAUGCCGCCUGGGGAGUACAGUCGCAAGGCUGAAACUCAAAGGAAUUGACGGGGGCCCGCACAAGCGGUGGAGCAUGUGGUUCAAUUCGACGCAACGCGAAGAACCUUACCUGGGCUCGAACGGCUUCUCAACGGCUGUGGAAACAUGGCUAUCCCGCAAGCGAGUGGAGUCGAGGUGCUGCAUGGCUGUCGU